GCCUGGGAGGUUGAGGUUGCAGUGAGCCAAAAAAAAAAAAACUAUAAAUAGACCACAAAAGAUAAACAGAGGAAAUGAGUAAAGAAACAGUCACCCAAAAGAAGGGAAUCGACAGAAAACAGAAGAAUAGGAAUAGACAUCGUAUUUUUGUCCCAUUUGAUUUUUUGUUUAAGGAUUCAAUAACGAAAUUUUGAGGGAUUUUUGUUUCCUCAAUCAACAGAUUUUCCCUGGUUGUUGCACCUGGGCUAUUAGCAGUGUCCUCAGUCUUUCUGCUCACACUCCCACUGACCCAGGCAGCAUGGGUAAUCUAUAUUUAUAUAAUCAUAAUCUAUAUCUGACCACAAAAGCCAGUAUCUUAUCUAAUGUAAAAACACUGAAAAGCAAAUCAUCAUCAUAAAAGUAACAGAAAAACACUGAAGGCAUUUCUAUUAGAUUCUAAACAAACAAGGAUGUCCACUGCCUCAAUUAUAUAAUCUAAUUACAAAUAACUAAGUAAGGAAAGCAGGGAAUAAUAUUAGUAUGUAGAAAUCAACAGCUUCAUGUAUACCAACAAUGACUCCAUUCAUAGCAACAUAAAACAAAACAUCCAGAAAUAAACUUAGUAAGAAGGGUCUAAACCUGUAUGAAAAAAGUUUUAAAACACCCUAGAGGACCCAAAAAGAAAUCAGAAUAUAUAUCACGUACAUAAAGAGGAAUAUUUAAUGUCAUAAAAAUGUCCCUAUUCCCAAGUUACUUUAUAAAUUUAAUGCAAUCCCAAUAAAAAUAACAAACUAGUUCUUCCUUUUCCCCCUCUGGAACUAGACAAGCUAAUUCUAAAAUUUACAAAGAAAAAUAAACAAGCAAGAAUAGCCAGGAAACACUGAAAAGGACGAGCAAUUAAGAGACUAGCUAUACCACAAAGUAAAACACAAUGAUAAAGCCUCAA